rnacentral:rRNA from 1 species
UGCCAAGUCGAACGGUAGCACAGAGGAGCUUGCUCCUUGGGUGACGAGUGGCGGACGGGUGAGUAAUGUCUGGGAAACUGCCCGAUGGAGGGGGAUAACUACUGGAAACGGUAGCUAAUACCGCAUAAUGUCGCAAGACCAAAGAGGGGGACCUUCGGGCCUCUUGCCAUCGGAUGUGCCCAGAUGGGAUUAGCUAGUAGGUGGGGUAACGGCUCACCUAGGCGACGAUCCCUAGCUGGUCUGAGAGGAUGACCAGCCACACUGGAACUGAGACACGGUCCAGACUCCUACGGGAGGCAGCAGUGGGGAAUAUUGCACAAUGGGCGCAAGCCUGAUGCAGCCAUGCCGCGUGUAUGAAGAAGGCCUUCGGGUUGUAAAGUACUUUCAGCGAGGAGGAAGGUGUUGAGGUUAAUAACCUCAGCAAUUGACGUUACUCGCAGAAGAAGCACCGGCUAACUCCGUGCCAGCAGCCGCGGUAAUACGGAGGGUGCAAGCGUUAAUCGGAAUUACUGGGCGUAAAGCGCACGCAGGCGGUCUGUCAAGUCGGAUGUGAAAUCCCCGGGCUCAACCUGGGAACUGCAUCCGAAACUGGCAGGCU